rnacentral:rRNA from 1 species
AUUGAACGCUGGCGGCAUGCUUUACACAUGCGAGUCGAACGGCAGCGCGGGCCUCGGCCUGGCGGCGAGUGGCGAACGGGUGAGUAAUACAUCGGAACGUGCCCAGUAGUGGGGGAUAGCUCGGCGAAAGCCGGAUUAAUACCGCAUACGACCUGAGGGUGAAAGCGGGGGAUCUUCGGACCUCGCGCUAUUGGAGCGGCCGAUGGCAGAUUAGCUAGUUGGUGGGGUAAAGGCCUACCAAGGCGACGAUCUGUAGCUGGUCUGAGAGGACGACCAGCCACACUGGGACUGAGACACGGCCCAGACUCCUACGGGAGGCAGCAGUGGGGAAUUUUGGACAAUGGGCGAAAGCCUGAUCCAGCAAUGCCGCGUGUGUGAUGAAGGCCUUCGGGUUGUAAAGCACUUUUGGCGGGAACGAAAAGGACUGUGCCAAUACCACGGUUCGAUGACGGUACCCGCAGAAUAAGCACCGGCUAACUACGUG